ACUCUAAGUCUCUGCAGUUCAGAGCUGCAAGUGCUCGGUGCUGAGAGGGCGCUGCUCUCCCUUGGAGGUGAACAGACACUUAUGCUGUGUUUUGCGAAGACAGCCAAGUCUGGAGACACAGCUCUGCCCAGGGUGAAAGAUGAUUUGGUCGUUUCUCAAGCACUAUGCUAGAUAGCUACAGGCUGAAAAGUUUCUGCAAUUUACCACUCGUUUGUCAUAAGGUAAGUGCAAGGUUUGGAUGUACUCUUUAGGUUGUGGCAGCUUUAAAUGCAUUUGGCAGUUUCAGGAUUGUGCCUCAGAAAAUGUCUUCUCCCUGAGUACUGAGCAUGGUAAUUAUGAGUCUGAUGUUUGUAUUUUGGGCUUCAAAUGCUUUGCACCUAUGAAAGACCUAAUUUAAGAGAUCAGUAUUCUCUUGGAACUUAUUUAUGAAAAAAAGGCAGAACCUUGGUAAUGUUGAGACUUUGUUAGCUUUACGUUGCUUUAGAUUGCUUUCAAGAAUUAGUUAUUUCAGGGUAUCAGUUUGGGGGUCUUUUUUCAUUUUGUUAUCAUAUAGUUUCUAUCAAAGUCUAUAUCAAAUUAAUAUUCAAAUAAAUAAAGGUUUUCAUUCUUUCCUAAAUGAUUAUGGUCCUUUACUGGCAUAAAAAGAAGGUCUCAUUAACUGAAAAGUUAAAUAUGAGAAGGGAGCAAAAGCCUCUUGUCCUGUCAUGUGUGGACUUGGGCCUGAGUGAGAGGCUAUGGACUUAGGAACUUCAGGUUGAGCUGUUUUAAAAUGUGAGCUUGUUUACCACAUCUUACUUUCUCUGUUGCUGCGAGACGGUCAUGGUACAGGUUGGUGCAUAGAGAAAUCUGCGUGGAAAAUGACUGACAGCUUUGUUUGCAAAUUUGUUUAAGCUAAGAGGUUGGAAUUAAAGAUAACUGAUUCAAGAAACUGACAUCAAAUGUAGAAUUUGGGGCAGGUGUCUUGUGUCAUUUAACUUCAGAUGCUCAUAUUUAGAGCCGUCAACUUCAUUUGACAUGGAAGAAGUAGCUAAUUUGAUUUUGAGAGCUCUAGCUAUAAAUUUGUAGGAUAGUAAUGAGUUGAGUUCUUAAUGUACUAAUGACAGUUGGUAUUAUAAAUACUUUCUUCCUAAUUGACUCACUGUCAUGCUUAGGAAUGCUUCAUUUCUGUUCAAAUUUAUAUACACUAUAAAACUGCUAGAUUCUAACUAAAACAUAGAGGUUACUUUUCACUAGAAAUAUAGUCAAUAAUUAAUAUUUUUGCAAAGGUCAAAGGGUUAAUGAGUUGAUGGAAGGAAAAUGAGUUUCCUCUUCUUUAGAGGAUGAGUUAAAUUUAUUUUAAUUUCCAAGCAUAUUUGAAGGAGUACUUCGUACUUGAGAACAAAAGUUCUAUUAGAAAAUGGUACCACUAUGAGAGCAUUCUGAACCUUAAAUAGUGAAAAAAAGCAAAGACCUACAUAUUCUCAAAUCAUGAUACAUGUAAUAAAUAGAAUAUUUGAGUACUAGAAUAUACAUUAUACUCUGCCCUUUUAAAUAUGAACAAGGAGGGAGAUAUUCUGAUUUAUCAAACACUAUGCUGGAGGCAAGUCACAUAAAAGAGUAUAACAAAAUACACUGUAUUAAAGCAAAAGAAUGUCUAAUUAAUUAUGCUUUGCCUUGCUUCUGGGUUCUUAUUGUGGAUGACAGCGGCCAAACAAACUCUUGGCAUGGAUUGGAACUCAGUCUGAUGUGAUGUUAUCAGAUCCAGAGUUUCUAAUAUGUUAUUUCCAGCAGUGUUUAACAGAUCGUGCCAUUGUCUGAUGUGGCUGACCACAGAGGGUGGCAUGGCGGUUGCCCUUGUCCUUUCUUGUGCCCCAUUCUUUGGCUGUUUUCCUGGUUCCCUUCCUCUGUAGAGUGGUGGGCUGGUGGUACGAAGAGCACACACAAACAAGAUAAUAUUUCAUUUCUCAACCCACAUGCUAAUUUAGUUGAAAAAAAUCGGUGAAAAAGAUAUGGGUAAAACGAGCCUGAAAGAACCUGCAGGGUUCAGGCUUGAGGAAGCCCCUAGAUCUUGGGCUUUUCAAUCUAUGCAUUUCUAAGGGGUUGUUUCUGUGUUUUAUUAAAGGAGAGGAGUUUGAGAUGUUAAAGAUAGUCAGCACUUUACUUAGAAUACAGUAUGUUUCUUUUUGGGAAUGGAGGUCUCAUUUCUCUCCAAUUUAUAAAUUAAUUUUUCUUGUUAAUAUUCAAAUGAUAUAAAGUGUUUCGCAAAGUUAAGCUCUAGGAAAUAAAGAGACCCCCAUUAUAAGUCCCAGUGCCAUUUUAAUUUCAAAUAACACAAGGAAAGUCAUUCUC
rnacentral:lncRNA from 1 species